rnacentral:rRNA from 1 species
ACGCACGCUGGCGGCGUGCUUAACACAUGCAAGUCGAACGGAAAGGCCCUGCUUUUGUGGGGUGCUCGAGUGGCGAACGGGUGAGUAACACGUGAGUAACCUGCCCUUGACUUUGGGAUAACUUCAGGAAACUGGGGCUAAUACCGGAUAGGAGCUCUUGCUGCAUGGUGGGGGUUGGAAAGUUUCGGCGGUUGGGGAUGGACUCGCGGCUUAUCAGCUUGUUGGUGGGGUAGUGGCUUACCAAGGCUUUGACGGGUAGCCGGCCUGAGAGGGUGACCGGCCACAUUGGGACUGAGAUACGGCCCAGACUCCUACGGGAGGCAGCAGUGGGGAAUAUUGCACAAUGGGCGGAAGCCUGAUGCAGCAACGCCGCGUGCGGGAUGACGGCCUUCGGGUUGUAAACCGCUUUCGCCUGUGACGAAGCGUGAGUGACGGUAAUGGGUAAAGAAGCACCGGCUAACUACGUG